rnacentral:rRNA from 1 species
GUGGGGAAUCUUGCGCAAUGGGCGAAAGCCUGACGCAGCCAUGCCGCGUGAAUGAUGAAGGUCUUAGGAUUGUAAAAUUCUUUCACCGGGGACGAUAAUGACGGUACCCGGAGAAGAAGCCCCGGCUAACUUCGUGCCAGCAGCCGCGGUAAUACGAAGGGGGCUAGCGUUGCUCGGAAUUACUGGGCGUAAAGGGCGCGUAGGCGGAUCGUUAAGUCAGUGGUGAAAUCCCAGAGCUCAACUCUGGAACUGCCCUUGAUACUGGCGAUCUUGAGUGUGAGAGAGGUAUGUGGAACUCCGAGUGUAGAGGUGAAAUUCGUAGAUAUUCGGAAGAACACCAGUGGCGAAGGCGACAUACUGGCUCAUUACUGACGCUGAGGCGCGAAAGCGUGGGGAGCAAACAGGAUUAGAUACCCUGGUAGUCC